GGGGGUGAGGCUGUAGCUCAAUAGUAGAGCAUCUGUUUUACAUACAGAAGGUCCCAGGUUCAAUCCCUGGCAUCUCCA